rnacentral:lncRNA from 1 species
UGGGAUGGUGCUAUGGCAACAGUCUCCUUGGAGCUCACUGGAUCCUUAGAAUUAUUUUGUGAUGCUUGUUCUGCAUCUUGAAAUGACAACCUGUGCCUCUGGGACUCAGCUGCAAGGAAGACAAGUGGAAGGCAAGUGGACAUGUUUUUCUGUGUAUCCCAAAACAGGUAGCAGUGUCCUUGCAGUGCACUGGAUGGAUGGAUGAAGGCACUCUCCCAGGCUUCCAACUCUUGUGAUAUUGUACCUACUAAAUUAAAUGGUGGACCAGAGAGCCAGUGUGGCAUGAUGAAAAGCAGAGUCUCCAGAGAUGUGAUACUUGGGUCCAAAUGCUGGCACCACCACUUGAGGCAGAUGACCUGGCCUCGGGGGUCUCUGUUUCCUUGUCUGUAAUGCCUACUUCAUAGUUUUGUUAUGAGAAUGAAGUGGAUUAAUACUUCCGUGGUGCUUCACACUGUGCCUGGAACAUAGUAAGCCUGACGUAGGUAUCUUAAAUAGAGAUAUCACCAAAUAGAGUUGGGGAGAAGUUUACCUAGG